GACGGUACUUGAAGAACACCCACCGGCUUUCUACGUCCCAGCAGCCGCGGUAAUACCUAGGGUGCGAGCGUUAAUCGGAAUUACUGGGCGUAAAGGGUGCGCAGGCGGUUUUGUAAGCCAGACGUGAAAUCCCCGGGCUUAACCUGGGAACUGCGUUUGGAACUGCAAGACUAGAGUGUGUCAGAGGGGGGUGGAAUUCCACGUGUAGCAGUGAAAUGCGUAGAGAUGUGGAGGAACACCGAUGGCGAAGGCAGCCCCCUGGGAUAACACUGACGCUCAUGCACGAAAGCGUGGGGAGCAAACAGGAUUAGAUACCCUGGUAGUCCACGCCCUAAACGAUGUCAACUGGUUGUUGGAAGAGAAAUCUUUUAGUAACGAAGCUAACGCGUGAAGUUGACCGCCUGGGGAGUACGGCCGCAAGGUUGAAACUC
rnacentral:rRNA from 1 species